AUCGCUUCUCGGCCUUUUGGCUAAGAUCAAAGUGUAGUAUCUGUAGUUAAAUGUAUAUGUAUUAAUAAAUCUGCAUUUACUACACUAAUUUGCGUUAUUUGUAAUAGAUCCCUACUCUCC
rfam:Rhodnius prolixus Rhodnius_prolixus-3.0.3-2369.5, whole genome shotgun sequence.